rnacentral:rRNA from 1 species
UGGGGAAUAUUGGACAAUGGGCGCAAGCCUGAUCCAGCCAUGCCGCGCGAGUGAUGAAGGCCCUAGGGUUGUAAAGCUCUUUUGUGCGGGAAGAUAAUGACGGUACCGGGAGAAGAAGCUGCGGCUAACUACGUGCCAGCAGCCGCGGUAAUACGUAGGCAGCAAGCGUUGUUCGGAGUUACUGGGCGUAAAGAGUGCGUAGGCGGUUUUCUAAGUUCGGUGUGAAAUCUCCCGGCUUAACUGGGAGGGUGCGCCGAAGACUGGGAAGCUGGAGUGUGGGAAAGGCAGGCGGAAUUCCUGGUGUAGCGGUGAAAUGCGUAGAUAUCAGGAGGAACACCGGCGGUGUAGACGGCUUGCUAGACCAUAACUGACGCUGAGGCACGAAAGCGUGGGUAGCAAACA